rnacentral:antisense_RNA from 1 species
UUCAAUGGGCGGGCCUUGGUGGGGAGGGCUUCGGCCCUGCCGGUUCCAAUCCCGGUCUGUCAACCCUGCCAUGUGCCCGCUCACCCCA